ACACCAGCACCUCAAGUGGUCAGGAUGAUUAUUGGGCCUAAAGCAUCCGUAGCCGGCUCUGUAAGUUUUCGGUUAAAUCUGUACGCUUAACGUACAGGCCGCCGGGAAUACUGCAGAGCUAGGGAGUGGGAGAGGUAGACGGUACUCGGGAGGAAGUGGUAAAAUGCUUUGAUCUCUCGAUGACCACCUGUGGCGAAGGCGGUCUACCAGAACACGUCCGACGGUGAGGGAUGAAAGCUGGGGGAGCAAACCGGAUUAGAAACCCGAGUAGUCC
rnacentral:rRNA from 1 species